CAGGUUAGAUUUGCGAAACG
rnacentral:miRNA from 1 species